GACGAACGCUGGCGGUGUGCUUAACACAUGCAAGUCGAACGGUAAGGCCCUUUCGGGGGUACACGAGUGGCGAACGGGUGAGUAACACGUGAGUAACCUGCCCUCAUCUCUGGGAUAACAGUCGGAAACGGUUGCUAAUAAUGGAUAUGAGCUUGCAAGGCAUCUUGUGGGUUGGAAAGAUUUUUUUUGGUUGGGGAUGGACUCGCGGCCUUUCUGAUUGUUUGUGAGGGGGUGGCUCAUCAAGGCUUCGACGGGUAGCCGGCCCGAGAGGGCGACGGGCCACACAUGGGCCGUGAGACGGCCCAAAGUCCCACACGGGGGAGCAGUGGGGAAUAUUUCACACUGUGCGGGAGACUGAGGCGGCACCGCCGCGUGCGCGAGGAGGCCCUUUGGGGUGUAAACCGCGCUCAAUUGUGACACAGCGUUUUUGUGACGGUAGCAGUAGAAGAAGCACCGGCUAACUACGUG
rnacentral:rRNA from 1 species